rnacentral:rRNA from 1 species
GAUGAACGCUGGCGGCGUGCCUAAUACAUGCAAGUCGAGCGAACAGACGAGGAGCUUGCUCCUCUGACGUUAGCGGCGGACGGGUGAGUAACACGUGGAUAACCUACCUAUAAGACUGGGAUAACUUCGGGAAACCGGAGCUAAUACCGGAUAAUAUAUUGAACCGCAUGGUUCAAUAGUGAAAGACGGUUUUGCUGUCACUUAUAGAUGGAUCCGCGCCGCAUUAGCUAGUUGGUAAGGUAACGGCUUACCAAGGCAACGAUGCGUAGCCGAACUGGGAGGGUUAUCGGCCACACUGGAACUGAGCAACUGUCCAGACUCCUACGGGAGGCAGCAGUAGGGAAUCUUCCGCAAUGGGCGAAAGCCUGACGGAGCAACGCCGCGUGAGUGAUGAAGGUCUUCGGAUCGUAAAACUCUGUUAUUAGGGAAGAACAAAUGUGUAAGUAACUAUGCACGUCUUGACGGUACCUAAUCAGAAAGCCACGGCUAACUACGUGCCAGCCGCCGCGGUAA